UACAGAGGUCCCAAGCGUUGUUCGGAUUCACUGGGCGUAAAGGGUGCGUAGGCGGUCGGGUAAGUCUGAUGUGAAAUCUCACAGCUUAACUGUGAAACUGCAUUGGAUACUAUCCGGCUAGAGGAAUGGAGGGGAGACUGGAAUACUUGGUGUAGCAGUGAAAUGCGUAGAUAUCAAGUGGAACACCAGUGGCGAAGGCGACUCUUUGGUCUGUAACUGACGCUGAGGCGCGAAAGCGUGGGGAGCAAACAGG
rnacentral:rRNA from 1 species